GUUUGAGGAUGGGGUUAAUUGUACUGAGGUAAAUAUUAAGGUUUAAGGAUUUUUUUUAAGGUUUGAGGAUAGGGGUUAAUCGUACUGAGGUAAAUAUUAAGGUUUAAGGUUUUUUUAAGGUUUGAGGAUAGGGGUUAAUUGUACUGAGGUAAAUAUUAAGGUUUAAGGUUUUUUUAAGGUUUGAGGAUGGGGUUAAUUGUACUGAGGUAAAUGUUAAGGUUUAAUGUUGUUUUUUAGGGUUAGAGGAUAGGGGUUAAGUGUACUGAGGUAAAUAUUAAGGUUGUUUAAUUAUGGUUUGAGGAUAGGGGUUAAUUGUACUGAGGUAAAUGUUAAGGUUUAAUGUUGUUUUUUAGGGUUAGAGGAUAGGGGUUAAGUGUACUGUGGUAAAUGUUAAGGUUUAAGGGUUUUUUUAAGGUUUGAGGAUAGGGGUUAAGUGUACUGAGAUAAAUAUUAAAGUUUAAGGGUUUUUUUAAGGUUUGAGGAUAGGGGUUAAUUGUACUGAGGUAAAUAUUAAGGGUUAAGGUUGUCAGUUGUUUUAAGAUGUUAAAGGCAAAAAAGUGAAAGCAUAAUGAGACUUUAAAGGGUGUUAAAUAACAGACUCUGGAUUUAAACCGGACUCUCUGAUGUCCUGUACACUUUGUUAAAUACCACUCACCUCUCUGACCUUUAAAGUGCUGACUGUGCCUCAGGAUAAAGUCUGAUAUUGACGGAGACCAGGUGAACAGGGGUGUGUUAUCAGGAAUCUGCUUCAAAAAUCAGAUAAAUGUACUGAAAUGUGAAGCUCGUCAGCUGUGCGGUCUCUGACACAAAUGUUAUCUACUUUUAAAGCUAAUGAAGCCGUGCUGUGUGGUGAUUAGUUACGUUGUUGUACGUUGCUUUUUUGGUUGCAGUUAUAUGUUUGUUUCAGGGCUGCACUAUAAUGAUGAUAAAGGAACAAAAGAAAUCAUAGAAGUAAAAACCAGAUGACUGCAACAUAUCUGACACAUUUACAUUUCUUAAAUACGAUUAUAAAAUGUGAUCUUUUAAGAAGUCACGACAUUAGGCCAUAGCAACAAAAUGCAAACAAAAUUUUGCGUCUCGUUAUGGGAUUGAGCUUAGAGAAUUGAACAGAUAUGGAGUUGUGUGUUAAUUUACAGAUAACAGUAUAACAUUUAUUCAAUUUAACAUGAAAUCCACACAUCUUUGCAAAAUACAGUAUAUAGAAAUCUCAUACCUUAUAUAUAUUCAUCAUCAUACAUAUAAAGUAAUGUGUAUACAUAAGUAAUGUGUAUACGUAAGUACAUAUGUGUAUGUACUUUAAGUCUCAUAUAUAAUGCACAUAAUGGAGCUUUUGCUUUAAUAGUUCAGUAAAGUAUGGGAUCACUAGUGCCCCCUGGUGGUGUGGUUUGGUUUUUCUUUUCUGGAAAAGACUCAGCUGUUUUAAAAAAAAGAAAAAGAAAGAAAAACACACAAAAUAGGUCAGUGUACACACACUGUCCUGUUUUCAUGGCAGACAGAGUGUGUUCCCCUGUGCUUUAGUGUGGACUUCAAACACUGACGGGUUAAAACACACAGUGACCUUGUUAGGUUUCAUGAAACAGCA
ensembl:lncRNA